rfam:Shewanella violacea DSS12 DNA, complete genome.
UAAAUCUUGUCGGAGUGCCUAAAGGCUGAGACCGUUUAUUCGGGAUCCGUUGAACCUGAUCAGGUUAAAACCUGCGAAGGAAACAAGCAUGAUAAUGUC